CCUCAAAGUAGGACACACCGCCAAUUUUAGGGGUUGUCCUAAAUUUCCAAAACCCAACAAAACUAACUCCAGACCUAUGUAAAUUGUACUGGAAAACUGAUAAUAUGUAAUAGAUCCCGUAGUACUAAUGAGUUAUCUUAUGCAAAUGUAACAAGUGGAAAUACGAUUAUGUUAGACACCCAGUCAAUACAAGUUGUAUUGAUGUAAACAGUACUAAUACCAGUAGCCUCAACUUAAAGCUCCCUAGGAGAAGUUUACAAGCUUCUAAAGGAAAUAGAUAGGUUGGAUGGAAAUUAAAGCAGAUGGAUGAGAACGAGCUGGUGACAAGAAAAAGAGGAAGAAGCGCAGGAAGGAAUCUUUCGCUAUUUAUAUCUACAAGGUUUUGAAACAGGUUCAUCCCGACAUUGGUAUUUCCAGCAAAGCAAUGUCCAUCAUGAAUUCCUUCGUUA
rnacentral:misc_RNA from 1 species